AAGGUUUGGUCCUAGCCUUUAUGUCAUCUAUUGCCAAUCUUACACAUGCAAGUAUCUGCACACCCGUGAAAACGCCCUUAACCCCUUGAUCAAGGAAAAGGAGCUGGUAUCAGGCUCAACUUUAAGCCCACGACACCUAGCCACGCCACGCCCACAAGGGUAUUCAGCAGUGAUAAACCUUGUUUAUAAGCGCAAGCUCGAAUCAGUUACGGCAAAGAGGGCCGGCAAAUCCGGUGCCAGCCGCCGCGGCUACACCGUUAGGCCCAAGUUGACACACGCCGGCGUUAAGCGUGAUUAGAGUGAUUACACUGAUUAGAGUUAAACCCAAACUUAGUCGUGAUACACUUGUUCCCGGGAAACCCAAAAACGAAAGUUACUCUAACCAAUCCACUUGACCCCACGACAGCUAGGACACAAACUGGGAUUAGGUACCCCACUAUGCCUAGCCGUAAAAUAUAUACUCACCCAACAAAUCGCCAGGGAAUUACGAGCCCAAGCUUAAAACCCAAAGGACUUGACGGUGUCCCACCCACCUAGAGGAGCCUGUUCUAUAAUCGAUUCCCCCCGAUAAACCUCACCACUUCUGGCCAACUCAGCCUGUAUACCUCCGUCGUAAGCUUACCAUGUGAACGAAACCAGUGAGCCAAAAGAUCCAACAUCAAUACGUCAGGUCAAGGUGCAGCUAACGAACUGGGAAGAAAUGGGCUACAAUUUCUACCAUAGAACAAACGAAAGGCUACAUGAAACAUAGUCACUGAAGGCGGAUUUAGCAGUAAAAAGAAAAUAGAGAGUUCUUUUUAACAAGGCGCUGGGACGCGUACACACCGCCCGUCACCCUCUUCGAAUGCCAAGCUUAUGUAAAUAACCCCACACAGCACCUUAGAAGAGGCAAGUCGUAACACGGUAAGCGUACUGGAAAGUGCGCUUGGAUUAA
rnacentral:ncRNA from 1 species